GACGAACGCUGGCGGCGUGCCUAAUACAUGCAAGUCGAGCGAAGUUUUUCUGGUGCUUGCACUAGAAACACUUAGCGGCGAACGGGUGAGUAACACGUAAAGAACCUACCUCAUAGACCGGGACAACUAUUGGAAACGAUAGCUAAUACCGGAUAACAGUAUUUCUCGCAUGAGAGAUAUUUAAAAGUUGGUUAUGCUAACACUAUGAGAUGGCUUUGCGGUGCAUUAGCUAGUUGGUGGGGUAAAGGCCCACCAAGGCGACGAUGCAUAGCCGAACUGAGAGGGUGAUCGGCCACACUGGGACUGGGACACGGCCCAGACUCCUACGGGAGGCAGCAGUAGGGAAUCUUCCGCAAUGGGCGAAAGCCUGACGGAGCAACGCCGCGUGAGUGAAGAAGGAUUUCGGUUCGUAAAGCUCUGUUGUUAGGGAAAAAUGGAUAUGUAGUAACUAUACAUGUAAGAGACGGUACCUAGCCAGAAAGCCACGGCUAACUACGUG
rnacentral:rRNA from 1 species